CCUACGGGGGGCAGCAGUCGAGAAUCAUUCACAAUGGGGGAAACCCUGAUGGUGCGACGCCGCGUGGGGGAAUGAAGGUCUUCGGAUUGUAAACCCCUGUCAUGUGGGAGCAAAUUAAAAAGAUAGUACCACAAGAGGAAGAGACGGCUAACUCUGUGCCAGCAGCCGCGGUAAUACAGAGGUCUCAAGCGUUGUUCGGAAUCACUGGGCGUAAGGCGUGCGUAGGCUGUUUCGUAAGUCGGGUGUGAAAGGCGCGGGCUCAACCCGCGGACGGCACAUGAUACUGCGAGACUAGAGUAAUGGAGGGGGAACCGGAAUUCUCGGUGUAGCAGUGAAAUGCGUAGAUAUCGAGAGGAACACUCGUGGCGAAGGCGGGUUCCUGGACAUUAACUGACGCUGAGGCACGAAGGCCAGGGGAGCGAAAGGGAUUAGAUACCCUUGUAGUC
rnacentral:rRNA from 1 species